UACGUAGGGUGCGAGCGUUAAUCGGAAUUACUGGGCGUAAAGCGUACGCAGGCGGCUAUGCAAGACAGGUGUGAAAUCCCCGGGCUUAACCUGGGAACUGCAUUUGUGACUGCAUAGCUAGAGUUUGUCAGAGGGGGGUGGAAUUCCACGUGUAGCAGUGAAAUGCGUAGAGAUGUGGAGGAAUACCGGUGGCGAAGGCGGCAUCCUGGACCAUUACUGACGCUGAGGCGCGAAAGCUAGGGGAGCAAACGGG
rnacentral:rRNA from 1 species